AUGGAGGCUGCCGAUCUCACACAGCUCCUGCGCCCCGCUACCCUCUCCUCCCCGGCUAAGCAGGAGGAUUUCCAAUUGUGUAAUAUUCCAUCAUACUCCUAUGCAUUGGCCAGAUCUGAGGCAGAAAAGAAGAGGAAGAAUCUGAAGAUUUGGGUGAAUGGUGAUGAAGAACAGGGGAUUGAAGAAGAAACUGUUAUUAUUGUGAUUGUGCAUAGGAAGCAGAUGCUAUCAAGAUCAUGUCAAAGGCGAUGCUCAUUCCCGUUCUUAGUGAGAUGGAUUUACUCGAUGCAAGGUAUGAGCAUUGCAGACUCUGGCGAGCUGUUGAAGGUCGACGAGGAGGGCGCUGCCACCACCGUUAUCAGGCUGGUCCACAUCCACGCGCUGCUCGGCGUCACCAGGUCACCGGCACAACUCCUCACGCCCAGGUCGUUCAACAUUUUCUUCCGCUUUUGGUGCGUCACAUUUAGUCCUUCUUUCCCAUUUUACCGUGUUUGCAUGGUAAGAUGUUUGGUUGGAUUUGAAGUGAUUUCAAUUCUGUUGGCCUCCUUAGGAUUGCUUGGGAAUGUGAGGCUUAAAAGUUUCAACCCUGUGAAAUGUGCUUCUCGGGUGUGGAGACUAAUUAACGGUUCUGUUAAUACUGAUAUGUCCUUGUACAUUAUACGAGUAUUGCAUCACUUGUACUUAUACCUUGUCAAGCGAUCUGACAGACCAAGAAGGACAAGGAACGAGGGACCAACCUACAGCUUUGCGAGCUGCCCAGUUGUGAAGCGUGGAGACAAGAAAUCCUCCCUUUCCGCCACAGCUUUGGCUGCCAGCCUACCAGAGCUGUGA
rnacentral:rRNA from 1 species